GGGAGGGCCCACGAUAGAGUGUUUUUAUUUUCUUGCUUUGUUUCACGUCCAGAAAAUAACAGCAAUGGUGGAUAUUUGAAGAAAUGUCCAUAUCAGAUCGUUCGCGUGACAUUUUCGUAAUAAUUACCGGAUUGAUAUCAGAGCCAAAUCCACAGGAGGGAGGAUGAAGCGGCGCAAUGCGGAUUGCAGCAAGCUCCGACGGCCGUUAAAACGGAACCGAAUCACCGAGGGUAUAUAUAGCAGUACCUUCCUGUAUCUGAAGUUUCUGGUGGUUUGGGUGCUGGUGCUGCUGGCAGACUUUGUGUUGGAGUUCAGGUUUGAGUACCUGUGGCCCUUCUGGCUAUUCAUACGCAGUGUCUACGACUCCUUCAGAUACCAGGGGCUGGCGUUCUCAGUGUUCUUUGUGUGUGUGGCGUUUACGUCUGACAUCAUCUGCCUCCUCUUUAUCCCUGUCCAAUGGCUGUUCUUCGCUGCCAGCACCUACGUCUGGGUCCAGUACGUGUGGCACACAGAGAGAGGAGUAUGUCUACCCACCGUAUCGCUAUGGAUACUGUUUGUGUACAUGGAAGCUGCCAUCCGCUUCAAGGACCUGAAGAACUUCCAUGUGGACCUGUGUCGUCCCUUCGCUGCUCACUGUAUUGGCUACCCGGUGGUGACUUUGGGCUUUGGCUUUAAGAGCUACGUCAGCUACAAGAUGAGACUGAGGAAACAGAAAGAGGUGCAGAAGGAGAAUGAGUUCUACAUGCAGCUCCUACAGCAAGCUCUGCCCCCAGAGCAACAGAUGCUACAGAGACAGGAGAGAGAGGCAGAGGAGGCGGUCAUGGCUAAAGGUGUGUCAUCAGAUGUGGACCCUACCCCGCCGGUGUCCCAAAAUGGGUCAACUCCCGGCAAGAAGACCCCCGUUAACGCUUCUGUUCCGUUACCGGAACUGGAGUACCGGGAGAAAGGGAGAGACGGGAACAGCAAGGAACGGGAGGGCAAACAACAACAACAACAACAACAACACACAAUAGGAAUCAACAACAACAACAGUAUCCUCCACACACUGGACUCCACAUUACAGGAGACAGAGUAUAUGGAGAGCAUGGGUGGGAAGAGACUGAACAACGACCUCGGAGGAGGAGAGAUCACACACACGGGCAACACACACACUCCCAAAGAGGAGGUGGGGGGAACAGGGGGGAGGAGGGGGAGGAGGGAAGAACUACAAAAACGCCAGCGGAGGUGGUGUGGCCACCAACUCCUCCCCUCGGAAUCACAGCGCCACCAAUGGGACCGUGCCGUCGUCUGGCUCGUCCAAUAAGAACGAGAAAAAGACAAAGUCUGCGGGGAAAGGAGGAGCCAAUCAGAAGGAUCCCCUGGAGAACUGUAUUCCCAAUAAUCAACUGGGCAAGCCUGACGCUCUCGUGCGGUUGGAGCAGGAUGUGAAACGGCUGAAGGCAGACCUGCAGGCGAGCCGUCAGCUGGAGUCAGAUUUACGUUCUCACCUCUCCUCCCUGACCAGCCAGGACAGGAGUCUGCGCUCAGAGCUGGGCCAGCUGCGACAAGACAACGAGAUGCUGCAGAACAAUGCUGACCAGGCCAAGCAAAAGGACAAGCAGAUCGUCCCCCAGCUAGAGAAGAGGCUGAAGGCAGAGCAGGAGGCCCGGGCGCUGGCGGAGAAACAGCUGGCUGACGAGAGGAAGAGGAAGAAGGUGGAGGAAGCCACCGCAGCCAGGGCUGUAGCACUAGCUGCAGCCUCCAGGGGUGAGUGUACUGACUCCCUGCGUGGUCGGAUCAGAGAGUUGGAGACGGAGUGUAAGAAACUCAGCAUCGACAUGAAACUCAAAGAAGAACACAUUAGAGAGCUGGAGGGGAAAUGCCAGGAGCUGCGUAAGUACAAGGAGAAUGAGAAGGACAUGGAGGUGUUAAUGUCGGCGCUGUCGGCCAUGCAGGAUAAAACCCAGCACCUGGAGAACAGCCUGUCUGCUGAGACCAGGAUCAAACUAGACCUCUUCUCUGCCCUGGGGGACGCCAAGAGACAGCUGGAGAUCGCACAAGGUCAGAUCCACCAGAGAGACCAGGAGAUAGCAGAGUUGAAGCAGAAGAUAGCUGAAGUGAUGGCGGUGAUGCCCAGUAUCUCCUACAGCAACGACAGCAGCAGCCUCAGCCCUGUUACCCCACACUACUCCUCCAAGUUCAUGGACAAUAGUCCCUCCUCUCUUGAUCCCAAUGCAUCUGUCUACCAGCCACUCAAAAAGUGACAGUAGCACACACAUUAAUACACACUAACACACUUACUCACAAGGCAGCAUACAUAGUCCCAUACACACAUUUUCAUACAUACAAAGAGAAACACUUUCGAUCAUGUUUUUUUUUUUAGUUGUGUUUUGGGAAGCGAUAGGAAAUGUUCUCGGAGGUGUCUAGUACAAGCCUCUCGAAAUGGGACACUCACACCCAGACCCAGUCGGUCAUGGGUUUGUUCCCAUGGCGACGCUUUGUUUUUCUUUCUGUUUAUGGAACAGAUGGAGAGGUUGUUGUGUAAAACGACAAUAGGGAAGAUGUUGACGUUUUUUAGGGAUUGAGCCAUUCUGAUUUAACUGGUAAGAGAGACAUAAAGGGACAUCAUAUUAACGAGGACUUUGUCCAAAAUAACACCCUAUUCCCUAUAUUGACCCGGGCCCAGUGGGAGUUCUCUGAGGGGAGAUGGAGGCAGAUGAGGACUGGCUGGUUAGUUGAUAUGAAUGUUUAGAAAGACUCAUUGUAUUGCUCAGUCAGUCAGUGAUUCACGCUCGCUCGUUCUCUCUUCUCCCUCCGUUCUAGUUCAGGUUUUUGACUUUGUGUAUUGCCAAACUUCUCUUGGGUUUUAAAUGAGAUAACUGAAACAUUUGAAUUGCUAAAAUGGUACCUUCUGUGAGUUUGAUUAUGAAUGUAAAGUACUUUGUUCAUGUUUUUGGUAUUAUCGCCCUAAAUUGUGAUUUUGUUUUUUGUUUUUUAAAGCGACACAUUUCAGUUUAGUUAUGAUGACAAUGGUAAUAUCAUCAUAACUAAAUGUACAGAUUGUCAAUUUGUACAUUACUCCAUUUUGAAAAGUGGAACUGACUCCAAACAGCAUCCGGGAUUAUCAAUUAACUCAAACACUCCUGAUUUGUGACGUUAACUCAAACACUCCGGUCAAGAAAUACAUAAAUCUCUCAAAAUAGGAUUGUCAAUAAAUAUGACCUGGUACUGUCUAGAGGUUAAUCAUCUGUUUGCUGUUUAACGUGCUUAAACCUGUCUCUCCUUUUGGACCAAAUUACAAUCUGUUGUUAGGCCGUAUAACUAAAAACCUACUGGAUUUAGUGAUGUCUAGGUAACUGGUAUUUUACCUGUUGUCAAUUUCACUGUGCCUUGCAAUUCCUUUUUUUAAAGUAGUUAGUAUAAUGGGUUACUUUGUCAAUCCCUCCAGGCUGUCUCUCAAUAACGUGAGCUUUCUGGCAAGUGGAAGCAACAUAUGGUGAAAGCUUGUCCGGGCCUCUCACCUAUCAUGAAGGAAGGAAGCCAGUGUAGUGGAUUGAGACACCCCCCCCCCCCCUAUCUCUCACCAUCUCCCAUGCAGGCCCCAGUCUCCCUUUUCUAUUAGGCCCCGUUCUCUGAUACAACUCUGACCCCAAGUAAACAAUGGAUUUGGUUCAUCCCAUUUUGUAUAGGGAGUAGGAACGACCCUGUCCACCAAACAGCUAUUAACUAUGUCUGGGGCAUAAAGUUUUACCUGGCCAGGCCAAGUGGUCAGUAGAACAAACACCAGGCCUUUAUGUCCAAUACUACGGUAGCCCAGAGUGGACAUCUAUCUGUUUACAACCAGGGUUGGGGUCAAUUACAUUUCAAUUUCAGUCAAUUCAGGAAGUACACUGACAUUCCAAUUUACCUUCUUUUUAAUAAGGGGGAAAAUGUGGAAUUGGAAUUUGGUUAACUCUCUGAAUUGAAAUGGAAUUGACCCCCGAACCCUGUUUACAACCAUGUACAUUAUUACAUAGCGAUUUUUAAAUGUUCUAGUAUUUCAGUUCAAAGUGCCACGUUUUGGUGUUUUCUUAAUACAGCUCCCUCUCCAUUCGUUUAGAUUGAUGUAUCUCAAGCUUGCUUUAGGUUUGGAUCAAAGCAUCAGAACAUGGCUACACAUUUGUUGUGUUCAUGUAGUUUUUAUGUUGUUUUUUGACAUUCAUUGAAAGCAAGUAGAGUAAUUGGUUAUAUUUGACUCACUGCACUAUUAUUGUAUUUAUUUGUUUGUUGCAGCCAUUUUUUUUUUCUUCUUCCUCUUAAGUAUUAUGUUUUGGAUUUCUCUCAAUCUCUUUCUAGAAUGAUUGCAGAUCUGUUUCUGCUCAUGCCAACUCCUUAUGGAAUUGGCAAAAAAAAAAAAAAACGUUUUGACAACUACAUUCAGUUGGCAAAGAGCAUUAACAGAUCUGGGACCAAGCUAAUCUCUUUCCGACAGGGAUGAUCGUGUGUCGUUUUGUAUUUGGGAAGUUACACCCUGCCCACUGGGCACACACACCAGGUUGAAUUAACGUUGUUUCCGCAUCAUUUCAAUGAAAUUACAUUGAACCAACUGGAAUACACAUUGAUUUAACUGUGAUCAGUUUGCCGUGUUUUCUGCUGUAGGGUGAAGUUGCCCCAUAGACGCUGAUCUUGGGUCAAUUUGACAAUUUUUUCCCCCCACUAUUGUUAAAAUUCGGAUUAGGGGAGAGGAAGCUGACCCUGGGUCCUAGAGGGAACUCCAUCCCGUAGCCAUGUUUUCUCAUGUUUCCUACCUGGAAAGUAUUGGUGUGGAUCAUAAUAACGGACUUGUGACCUGUUUUUUAAAUAUGUUCUACAUGUUUUUAGUGGGAAAGAAAAUAAGUGUUUCGUUUCUCUGUUUUCGUUGUUCCACCAUGUUGUUUUCUCUCAACAUGUGAUGAUGAUGAUGAUGAUGAUAUCGGCUGCAUCCAAACUCCUCUCACUUUGGGGACAUCACCUGGAAUUAAAAAAAAACUAUCUUGCAGGCGAUGAUGAUAAUGAUGCAAGCUGUUUGAGAACAA